UCUGUAUCGUCUGCUAUAGGUUCGCUAGUGGAAAGACCUUUGCAAUAUCAUAUAACUGGUAGUACUUAUCAGGGAACACACGAUUUGUUGGGUUUUUCGGGAAUUGGCAUUUACAAAUUUCCCCAUGGUGUUAUUUAUGAAGGGGAAUUCCACGAUGGCGAGUUUCACGGUUCCGGGACGCUGAUAUACCCAAAUGGACAACAAGUAGAAGGCAAUUGGCGCAAAGGAAAAUCUGUUUUAUUCAAAAUAACUUUAGAAGAGAAAGUG